CUCAGCCAGGUGUCUGCAGCCAUCAGGUUCAUAGGAAGGCCUUCAGGCCAGGUUAGAGACAGGAAAACCCUAUGCUGAAGAGUAACCCCUACAUAGGGGCUUAGUGAGGGGUCUGCAUACAUAGAUAAGGCUGUGAGGAAGAGGACUGGCAGGACUAAAGAAGUUGACCUUGUAAUGAGACAAUUAAGAACACCGAGAGUCUGGCUUUAUUGGAAGCCUGCCAUGUAAAUAGUGCUGCUGCUCUUUCAACUUGCCCUUUCAGGCCCAGGAAGAUAACACCUUGAUGUUAUGAGUCCUUGAAUGUUGUACAAAUCCUCAUAUCUUCAUACACCUCAUAUCUUCAUAAAUUGCCCUUCUAUUAAAUUAUCUGUUAUAUCAAUUAUCUCGAUAUGAAUAUACCAUCCGUUUGCUGCUAGGACAUUACCAACACAGUGCUAUUCUGUUGAUGGCUCUGGGGAAGCCCCCUGGGACCCUGGCUCUCAGCAACCGGCUCUGGAGAUAGAGGAUGAGGUUUAAAUGGUGGAUCCCUGAAGGGAGGUGUGUGAGGAAGGCACAACAGCUGAUAACCUCCAUGAAGGCAAGGGCUGUGUUCUGAUCACCAUUGUUUCUCUAAAACCCAGUGCCUGACACCUGCCAGAUGCUCAACAGG